rnacentral:rRNA from 1 species
UACGGGAGGCAGCAGUGGGGAAUAUUGCACAAUGGGCGCAAGCCUGAUGCAGCCAUGCCGCGUGUAUGAAGAAGGCCUUCGGGUUGUAAAGUACUUUCAGUCGUGAGGAAGGUGUUAAGGUUAAUAACCUUAGCAAUUGACGUUAGCGACAGAAGAAGCACCGGCUAACUCCGUGGCCAGCAGCCGCGGUAAUACGGAGGGUGCGAGCGUUAAUCGGAAUUACUGGGCGUAAAGGGCACGCAGGCGGUUAAUUAAGUUGGAUGUGAAAUCCCCGGGCUUAACCUGGGAAUGGCAUUCAAGACUGGUUAGCUAGAGUCUUGUAGAGGGGGUAGAAUUCCAUGUGUAGCGGUGAAAUGCGUAGAGAUGUGGAGGAAUACCGGUGGCGAAGGCGGCCCCUGGACAAAGACUGACGCUCGAUGUGCGAAAGCGUGGGGAGCAAACAGGGAUUAGAUACC